GGGGCGGCGAUGCGGGCGAGCUUCACGAUAGUGGGGAGGACCAGGCCGCGGUGAAGGCAGGUCAUGCGCUCCUCACGCUCCACGAACGGAACCUGCGCACGGAGGCGGUAGCGCGGGGUGGCAGCCGGCAAUGAGGCGGCCGCGCUACGUGACGAGCUGGAUCUUCAUCCGUCAUCCUGAGCAAUUGGGGCGGCGAUGCGGGCGAGCUUCACGAUAGUGGGGAGGACCAGGCCGCGGUGAAGGCAGGUCAUGCGCUCCUCACGCUCCACGAACGGAACCUGCGCACGAAGGCGGUAGCGUGGGGUGGCAGCCGGCAAUGAGGCGGCCGCGCUACGUGACGAGCUGGAUCUUCAUCCGUCAUCCUGAGCAAUUGGGGCGGCGAUGCGGGCGAGCUUCACGAUAGUGGGGAGGACCAGGCCGCGGUGAAGGCAGGUCAUGCGCUCCUCACGCUCCACGAACGGAACCUGCACACGGA